rnacentral:lncRNA from 12 species
GAAAGUGCCUUCCCUCUUCAAGGAGGUUUUUAUAGAGGCACCUGGGCUGAGAAUGUAUCUAUAAGAACAUGGCCAGCCUGGGCAGCCAAGUCCCUGGCUGCAGCUCCCUUCAGAGACUACAGUACCCAGGUACUACAUCUGGUGUAUGGAGGGCAACUUUCCCAGCGAGGCCUGUUAGAUAAAAUCUUGGUAAUUUUCAAUGCCCGGGCCUAAAAAUUCACACAUAGUUUUUUAACCAGGAGCUCGACUCCUCAGUCCUUAUUCAUUAAACAUCAACUUCCUCUGGCUUUCAAUCCCUUGAGAGAUUGUGUUGCAUAUCCUAUAAAUAAAAAGCAAAAACUGUGAUAUAUCCCCUCUUGGGUUCAAAGACCAGCUCUACCUUUUGUUAGUCAGCAUGUGACUCUGGGAAAAUCAUAUAUUAAGAGGGUAAAAAGGAAGGGCCUUUUUAGGUAUUCCAUAUUUAGUUUUUAAAAUCUUUAUUAAUUUAAGGAAUUAGUUGACAUUAUUAAAAUUAGUUGCAAAGUUAAUUGGAGUCUACAACUAUUAUUCUUUUACUUAGUAUUUCAUCAUGGACUGUAAUAAAUAAUUUUUAUUUUGAAAUUUGAGCAAGGGAUAGUUUUUAUGCCUGUGAGUUUGUGACAGGUUUAGAAAGAUGUGGGUGAGUGAUAAGGGAUCAAUUGGUGAAUAUGUUACUCCAUGAAAAGUGUCCAGAAAUCUCUUUUAAUGCUAAUACUGUGGGAUUGGAGGAACCUUAAGAAGCAAAUGAUAUCUUAAACAGUUUCUCCAUUUGUAGAUUCUUUAACCCUGCCUUUUUCUGUUUCACUCCCUCACUUCUGAAACAGGAAGAAGAAUAAAUAUAAAAAUGAUGUGAAAUACAGCUGACCAACAUUUAUGGACACAAUGACCUACAUUAAAUAUCAAUAUAUAUUUCUACAUUCCUUCCUUCUCAACUGUUUUAAGCUCCAAUCAUUUCUAAGCAAGAUAGUAACUCUGAAAAGCACUGAUUACUGA